rnacentral:rRNA from 1 species
GAUGAACGCUGGCGGUAUGCUUAAUACAUGCAAGUCGUACGAGGGCUUUUAGCCCUAGUGGCGGACGGGUGAGUAACACGUGAGAAUCUGCCCUUAGGAGGAGGAUAACAGCUGGAAACGGUUGCUAAUACUCCAUAUGCCGAGAGGUGGGAGGAAUUUCUGCCUAAGGAGGAGCUCGCGUCUGAUUAGCUAGUUGGUAGGGUAAAGGCCUACCAAGGCGACGAUCAGUAGCUGGUUUGAGAGGAUGAUCAGCCACACUGGGACUGAGACACGGCCCAGACUCCUACGGGAGGCAGCAGUAGGGAAUUUUCCGCAAUGGGCGAAAGCCUGACGGAGCAAUACCGCGUGAGGGAUGACGGCCUGUGGGUUGU